UCCAAGGCCGCGAGCGAUCUCCGGCACCCCUGUCUCGGCAGCGUUUUCCCACACCAUGGCCGCGGCCGUGAGCGCCGGAUGGGACGACCUGUAGGACCUCGCCCCUCUGCAGCUCUUCCUCGAUGGACGGCAGCACCGCGUCGGAGCUCGGCGGCUCCUAGUUCUGCAGCUAUUUCCUCCCCGAGCUGCUGCCCGAGGUGGUGCUGCCGGCGUCUCCUCUGUGCUACUGUCGGCGAGCACGUCCACCAGCACCUGCUGUCGACCACCUCCACGAAAAGCUGCUGCCGAUGAUCUUCAAGUCACUUGAUCUCCAUCGUACAACAUUGGCUGCUUCUGGUUGGCUUGCACGCUGGAGCAGUAGUGCGUGCUCACUGACCGACUUUUGCCACGCUGGCUGACUGCAUCUUCAACGAAGUGGAGCAACUUGUGGCAGAUCUCGUACCGCUGUCAGCAUGCUACUAUUAGGACCUCUACUGCGAGAAGGUAGUAGGGCUUGACCUGUUGGUGUGUUCUUGUGUGGUGCCCUCGCUGCCCAUGUUCACCACCGACGAGUCUGAAACCGGAGAGGGCGCCGCUGUCCUACUUCUUGGCUGUGGGCGACCUCGAGCAUGAGGUCUCCUGGAUGGACACGCUCGCCGGCAUCACCGUCAAUUUCAGGGUCGAGCGGGAGGAGUGGAUAUGUUGGACAAGUCAGUGGAGAAGUUCCUGGAGCAUUAUGCCCGCCGGUCCAGCAUCUUCUUGUGCUCUGUCACAGCCAUUGUCUUCAAGGUCAAUGAAGCAACUUGUGGCAAAUCUCGCUACUACUGUCGUCAGCUUGCUACUAGUAGGACCUCUACUUUGAGAAGGAAGUAGUGAUCGUCCUGUUGGUUGGUUCUUGUGUGGCGCCCUCGCUGCCCGUGUUCUCCACCGAUGAGUCUGAAACCUGAGAGGACGCCGCUGUCCUUCUUCUUUGCCUUCGAUGACCUCGAGCACGAGGUCUCUAGGAUGGACACACUCGCCGACAUCACCAUCAAAACAUGAUGGUGGUGAUGUUCACAUUUGUUUGCAGUUUGAUUACAUUGAGCCAAAACUGAGCUAUAUUGUUAUUUACUUCUCUGCAGAUUCGUAGUUCUAUUUGUUUCGUUUUUGGCUAUCCUUGAUAGGAAAUCAUUGCAUUCUCUAUAUUUUUCCUUGUCUUGCUUGCAUGAGUGUUACAGCAAUUUGCAAAUCUGUUGUUCUAGGUCAGUUUCUAUUUUUAUUUUUUUUAUAUUGGUAGGUCUGUUUAUGAUCUCUAGGACAGUAAUCAUCUAGCUUUUUUUUACGCGCAACAACAGGUAAUCAUCAAGCUUUGUUUCUCUUCCUUUAAUGUAUAUGGGCUUAAGAACUUUAUGAUUUCUCAUAUUUUAGCAAUUGCAUGACCCCGAAUAUGUAUAGUUGAUCAUGAACUUGAUUUCCAAUAAUAGCUGUUUUAGCCAUCGAGUCAAUGCCCUGUGUAGGGCCAUUGAGCCAUCACGUCAGACUUUUAGAAAUUUUUGGUGCUUUACUGGUACUGGAAUUUGUGGUUGCAGGUGUAGUUGUUCUUGUCAACGUUAAACAUACUAGUCGAAUUGGAUUGUAUGUUUGAAGGUCUAGAGGCAUGCCGUUUGUAUUUUACUGUCAUUUGUAUUGUGGUCUUGAUGUCCAGAGAAGGGCAAAGAUCAUGGCAGAAUUUUGAACACUUGCUAAUUAAACUUGCAGUGAUUUAGUAAGUUUAAUUCUUAGUGGCUUUGAAUUGAUAGUAUUUGGCUGUUGCUGGUGAUGAAGUAGUGCCACUGCAAUUUAUUUUGCCAAGGUGACAGUUGACAUCAACUGCAAUCUAUUCGCGAAUAUUCAACAUCACAUUUUCGCCACUAGCUGCUCCUCUGACGAUUUCUUAAUAUUUAAUUAGCAUGCCCGUGAACAUGUGUUUCCUGACACUAAUUAAAAGCGUGCAAAUUCUAUUUGCAGGACUGAGAAGCGGAGCCGGAGGUGACCUUCUUCCUCUAUAUACGACUAGGUAUGUUUAGGUGAGUAUCACUGCUGUGAUAUAUAGUGGCAUGUAGAGCUAUGGCUAAAGUGUGAUCCGGCUAUCGAGGAGGUGACGAUGCUGGUUUAGGUUCAGUUUUGGUAGUUGUGUAACCAGGACGUGGUCCUGGCACUAAGUGCUGUUCUAACCGAUUCUUUGGUUGAUGUUUUUAUUAUGAAUUUUUCCUAUUUCAGUUGUAUGUGUAUUUUUGGGCUUUGACCAAGUUGCUGUGAUGUGCAAUGUUGCAACAUAGCAAUUCUAUUGUGGUCCUGAAUAGCAUAAGUUCUGAGAAUAUCCAGGAGCAUUUGGGGUCUCCAUUA